AGAGUUUGAUCAUGGCUCAGGACGAACGCUGGCGGCGUGCUUCAUACAUGCAAGUCGAACGGUGAACCCACUUCGGUGGGGGAUCAGUGGCGAACGGGUGAGUAACACGUGAGCAAUCUGCCCUCCGCUCUGGGAUAACCCCGGGAAACCGGGGCUAAUACCGGAUAUGAGCUCCUGCCGCAUGGUGGGUGUUGGAAAGUCUUUCGGCGGGGGAUGGGCUCGCGGCCUAUCAGCUUGUUGGUGGGGUAAUGGCCUACCAAGGCGGUGACGGGUAGCCGCUGAGAGGGUGAUCGCCACACUGGGACUGAGACACGGCCCAGACUCUACGGGAGGCAGCAGUAGGGAAUAUUGCGCAAUGGGCGGAAGCCUGACGCAGCAACGCCGCGUGGGGGAUGACGGCCUUCGGGUUGUAAACCUCUUUCAGCAGGGGAGAAGCUUUCGGGUGACGGUACCUGCAGAAGAAGGACCGGCUAACUACGUGCCAGCAGCCGCGGUAAUACGUAGGGUCCAAGCGUUGUCCGGAAUUAUUGGGCGUAAAGAGCUCGUAGGCGGCGUGUCGCGUCGGAUGUGAAAGCCCGGGGCUUAACUCCGGGUCUGCAUUCGGUACGGGCAUGCUGGAGUUCGGUAGGGGAGACUGGAAUUCCUGGUGUAGCGGUGAAAUGCGCAGAUAUCAGGAGGAACACCGGUGGCGAAGGCGGGUCUCUGGGCCGAUACUGACGCUGAGGAGCGAAAGCGUGGGGAGCGAACAGGAUUAGAUACCCUAGUAGUCC
rnacentral:rRNA from 1 species